rnacentral:tRNA from 1 species
GAGGUUGUGGCUCAGUGUAGAGUGCUCACCUAGCAUGUGCGAGACCCUGGGUUUGAUCCUCAGCACCACA